ACGUAGGGUGCGAGCGUUAAUCGGAAUUACUGGGCGUAAAGCGUGCGCAGGCGGUUUUGUAAGACAGAUGUGAAAUCCCCGGGCUUAACCUGGGAACUGCGUUUGUGACUGCAAGACUAGAGUGUGGCAGAGGGGGGUAGAAUUCCACGUGUAGCAGUGAAAUGCGUAGAGAUGUGGAGGAAUACCGAUGGCGAAGGCAGCCCCCUGGGUCAACACUGACGCUCAUGCACGAAAGCGUGGGGAGCAAACAGGAUUAGAUACCCUGGUAGUCCACGCCCUAAACGAUGCGAACUAGGUGUUGGGGAAGGAGACUUUCUUAGUACCGCAGCUAACGCGUGAAGUUCGCCGCCUGGGGAGUACGGUCGCAAGAUUA
rnacentral:rRNA from 1 species